CCUACGGGAGGCAGCAGUGAGGAAUAUUGGUCAAUGGACGCGAGUCUGACCCAGCCAAGCCGCGUGAAGGAUGAAUGCUCUAUGGGUUGUAAACUUCUUUUAUAUGGGAAUAAAGUGUUCCAUGUGUGGGAUUUUGUAUGUACCAUACGAAUAAGGAUCGGCUAACUCCGUGCCAGCAGCAGCGGUAAUACGGAGGAUUCGAGCGUUAUCCGGAUUUAUUGGGUUGAAAGGGAGCGUAGGUGGGUUGUUAAGUCAGAUGUGAAAGUUUGCGGCUCAACCGUAAAAUUGCAGUUGAAACUGGGAGUCUUGAGUACAGUAGAGGUGGGCGGAAUUCGUAGUGUAGCGGUGAAAUGCGUAGAUAUCACGAAGAACUCCGGUUGCGAAGGCAGCUCACUGGACUGCAACUGACACUGAUGCGCGAAAGCGUGGGUAUCAAACAGGAUUAGAUACCCUUGUAGUC
rnacentral:rRNA from 1 species